rnacentral:rRNA from 9 species
CCUCCAGGCAGCAAGUGGGCUGCAAUUGCAGCUGCUAAGGCUUGCAAGUCCGAGGCAUAGUAGACGACAUCAGCCGCAACAAUCCGCUCAAAUUGCUCCUGAGGGCUGAAAACUGCCGGCCUG